CCCAUCACCACCGUCCUAUACCUUCCGCGGCCGUAACCUUGGCGACGGCCCAGCCUCUCUGUCCGGCGUCCAUCCCAUAAUGGCUCCAUUACGGAGGUUAUUGUCGUUGGCUGAACCUGAAAGGUAAGCCUUGCCGGCCGGCGAGGGGGGGUUACCGUGCGGCACCAGGUGCGUGAAGCGAUGACUUCAAACUUUAAUGAAAUGUGGGAUGAUGAAGUUUGGGUUUGAAAUGUAAUAUCUGUUACUUUGUUAAUUGGUUUUCCUUUGGGCCCCCCCCUGAGAGCCACCAGCAAUAAGCCCCCAGGGAACCCCCCCCCCCCUGGCCCAAGGGGAACACCGAGCCAUGUGAAGGGGGCGUGUGUGUCACGUGAUGCAAUAGAACGGCCAUGUUUCCCUUUCCAAUCAAGAACACCUUGCAAUACAAUGGGAUGAACCACGUUGAAGAACGAAGAUAGAAAAGAGUCUGACGGUAGAGAACGUAGAUAGGGCUAGGAGCAGAAGGAGGAGCAGGUGUAGAGUACCUCCCUUCUUCAGAGGCUCUGUCCUGAAAUGGAGGCUAGGCUAGGUUAGGCAAGGCUAGGCUAAGCUAGGCAUUUUUACGUUAUUUUCUCAAAUGCUCUUAGAGCGUGUGCAAUAGUGUUUGACUGUUUGCUUGUAAGCCAGUUGACUAGAAAGCUGUGUGUGUGUGUGUGUGUGUGUCUGUAUGUGUGUGCAAGUGUAUAUAUGGUUAUUUGUGCGACCAUCUGUUUGUGCGUGUAUGUGCGUCUACGUGCGUGCAUGUGUGUGUGUGUGUGUUGGUCAUGAUAGUGCACGAGAGAUUGCCUCCGCCCCCUCCUAUUUUCAUAUCCCCCCCUCCCCCCCUCCCCAACAUUCAUCAAUGUUCUUCACGCUACCCCGAUUCUCCACUCGCAACCCGCCUGGAGGAGCCGGGCCGUACCAUCUCUGUCUGGGGGGGUGGAGGUUCCUGUAGGAGCCGGGCCGUACCAUCUUUGUCCCCGGGGGGUGGAGGUUUCUGUAGGAGCCGGGCCGUACCAUCUCUGUCCCCGGGGGGUGGGGGUUUGUCAGCGAGCCUGAGACGGAGCGCUGCCCCCGCUGGCCGCUGGCGGCCGUGCGUCCGCUCAGCGACUGUCAGCAGAAAGCCUCGGAGUUUAGAGGAACAUCAAAGCCACGGCGCAGCAGCUGCUUACUAUGCUGAAGACGUGCCCCGUCUCUCCCCCCGGCCUCCCCC
ensembl:lncRNA